CCACCCCUGCGCCCUUCACCACCAUUCCCCUUCCCUCCACCCAUCUCUCACUGAUUCAAUUUCAACGAUGCUGCUAUGCAGAUCUAGAUCCAGGUCGUCGGAUCCGUCUUUAGCUAGGGUGCGCGGCUGAAGCGCCCCCAAGCCCAUCACCGAUGCGGCCGCUCCUCCACUGGUGGCGCUGCCUCCCCUUCCUCUCCUGCAUUGACGGGGACACGGGGUGGUGCUAGGCCCGGUGCAGCGGCUGACGUUGAGGAGGCCGAGCUGACUCUGCAUGUCGGGGAGUCCCUCAUCUGUACUCUCGUGCGGCUAGCAUUUUUUGGAGGGGUCACAUCUCUUCUUUCUAUGUGUGCAGGAGGUGUGCAUCCGUGGGCAGCAGUGCAGGGGAUCGACCAAGGAGGAGGAGCUGGGAUGGCUCCGACCGUAGUCCGUAGUUGCUGAUGAUGCCGGUUAGUUCAAUGGAUGCUACGGGAUGACACCCCAAUAGUGUCCUCUCUGCCCCUCCAUCUGCUAAGUGGACAGGUCAUGAAAUGGGAAUCUGUGUUGUCUGUCUACAACCUAAGGAUGGUGCCCAGUUUGCAAGCGCUAAUUCCUGCAGAGAUGGGUAACUUAACUUGACAGAGGUGUGGAGAAGAGGAAAGAAACAUGGACAACCUGUUUAUUGCAAGCUGAGAUAAGCCAUCCUACAAGACCAAGGCAGCGUACUUGGUGGUGUCGACAAGUGAAAAGUGCUCAUCGAAGCUGUGUUUUGUUUUGAACCUAUUAGACAAAAGACUAUGAGCUCACUGUUAGUAAAAGUUGAGCAAUGAGCUUUAAGUGUUAGUGAGCUAAGCUUUUGGUUACAAGUAGUGGAUGUAUGACUUUUGGUCUCAUGAGAUAGGUAGGGAUGUUGAUGGCUUCUCAUGCACAAACUUCAUGUCUGCGAGCUUGUAAUGUAUUUUGUACUUGUGUGACCAUACAUUGGGCUAGCUCAUAUAUGAAUAAAUCAAUGUAUUAUGCUUAUAUUAA